rnacentral:rRNA from 1 species
UACGAGGGUGGCAAGCGUUACUCGGAAUUACUAGGCGUAAAGGGCAGGGUAGGUGGUUUGAUAAGUCUGUUGUGAAAGCUCCCGGCUCAACUGGGAGAGGCCAACGGAUACUAUCAGGCUUGAGUAUAGGAGAGGUUACUGGAAUUCCCGGUGUAGCGGUGAAAUGCGCAGAGAUCGAGAGGAACACCAAUGGCGAAAGCAGGUAACUGGACUAUUACUGACACUCAACUGCGAAAGCUAGGGGAGCAAACAGG